rnacentral:rRNA from 1 species
CCUACGGGUGGCUGCAGUGAGGAAUAUUGGUCAAUGGACGCGAGUCUGAACCAGCCAUGCAGCGUGCAGGAUGACGGCCCUAUGAGUUGUAAACUUCUUUUAUAAGGGAGUAAAACCAGACACGUGUACCUUGUUGCAUGUACUGUAUGAAUAAGGAUCGGCUAACUCCGUGCCAGCAGCCGCGGUAAUACGGAGGAUCCGAGCGUUAUCCGGAUUUAUUGGGUUUAAAGGGUGCGUAGAUGGGUUGAUAAGUUAGUGGUGAAAGUUUGCGGCUCAACCGCAAAAUUGCAAUUAAUACUGGUAGUCUAGAGAACAGUUGAGGUAGGCGGAA